UGAAAGCCAACUGUUUUAUCAAGGUCGUUUUUUUCCAACUGCCUCUGACAGCCUCUGAUCUCCUGAAUGUGCUAUGCCAGGAAGAGCCAACUCCGAUAUUCCAAGCGUGCCUCAUCGAAUGAGUUUCCAUACGAUGUGCUGCUUGGACACUAGAAGUUAUCCUUGUACAGGAACUCCGAGGCGAUUUGAAGGACACAUGUCCCUGCUGAGCCCUUGCCGCUCAGAGAUAAAAUCCCCACAGGUUAUUUAUGCAUAACAUUGCUUCCUGUUUGCAUCGAACAGUCUCGCUUUGGACACUUCCUGAAACUUUAUUAAAAAUUGACUUUUCGAUGUGGCUCUGAGACUGAUCCUCUCAGGAAUGAGUGG